AGCGAACGCUGGCGGCAGGCUUAACACAUGCAAGUCGAGCGGGCACUUUCGGGUGCCCGCGGCGGACGGGUGAGUAACGCGUGGGAACGUGCCCUCUGGUUCGGAAUAACUCAGGGAAACUUGAGCUAAUACCGGAUACGCCCUUUUGGGGAAAGGCUUGCUGCCGGAGGAUCGGCCCGCGUCUGAUUAGCUAGUUGGUGAGGUAACGGCUCACCAAGGCGACGAUCAGUAGCUGGUCUGAGAGGAUGAUCAGCCACACUGGGACUGAGACACGGCCCAGACUCCUACGGGAGGCAGCAGUGGGGAAUAUUGGACAAUGGGCGCAAGCCUGAUCCAGCCAUGCCGCGUGAGUGAUGAAGGCCUUAGGGUUGUAAAGCUCUUUUAUCCGGGACGAUGAGGACGGUACCGGAGGAAUAAGCCCCGGCUAACUUCGU
rnacentral:rRNA from 1 species